GCAACAAAGUAGCAGAGCCCAACACAUGGGGUAGAUUGUGGGAAAGAAGGGCCCCAGCACCCAGAUAUUUGAAAAAUAGGAAACACAGACAGCCAAGGGUGAGAAGAACUGCCCAGCCAAUUACAAGCGAGGUCUGACAAAUCCCUGCACACUUCCAUGAUACCAUGCGAUUUCUUUGUGUCACUUACAGCACUGGCACCCAGUAGAUACCCCGCGCACAGCAGCACACAGUGUGGAUUCCAGAGAAGAGAAAAGGAAGACAAGAUGCACAAUCUCAACAGAUGAAGCAGCUACAGUGGGCUUCUCUAGACCAAUGCUUCUUAAACUUCCACAUGGCAUCUAAAUCUCCAGGAAAUCUUGUUAAAACACACAUUUUGAUUCAGUAGGUCUGGGAAAGGAACUUAAUACACAAGAGUGAGCACUGUGGCCCUAUGGUGUGUCAUUCCAGGUCCCUUUCCUCAAUACCUCAUUGCACCCCUCCCAAAGAUCCUGACCUCAGGCAAUCUGAAGAGGAAGGCUAUGUUGAGCAUGACCAAAACUUUGCACAGAAAAGGGAAGAUAGACUUGCCAUUGAAGAGCCU